rnacentral:rRNA from 1 species
GCACGCCCGAGUGCCCUCACACAUCCAUCUCACCCCUUUGUGCAUCACCGCGUGGGUCUCCUUUUGCAAAAGGAGCUCACGUUUUCACACAAAAUUUGAUACAGUGUAGAAUGUUAUCUUUGCGGUCACACGCAAUCAAUACAACUUUCAACAACGGAUCUCUUGGCUCUCGCAUCGAUGAAGAACGCAGCGAAAUGCGAUACGUAAUGUGAAUUGCAGAAUUCAGUGAAUCAUCGAAUCUUUGAACGCACCUUGCGCCCCUUGGCAUUCCGAGGGGCACACCCGUUUGAGUGUCGUGAAAUCCUCAAAAUCCUUUUUGGGCUUACCCAGAAGGGAUUUUGGACUUGGAGGUUUAAUGCUUGCCUUUCACCUGUGAAAGUGAGCUCCUCUCAAAUGAAUUAGUGGGGUCCGCUUUGCCUGAUCCUUGACGUGAUAAGAUGUUUCUACGUUUUGGAUUUUGGCACUGUACCUUGGAUGCCUGCUUCUAACCGUCUCAUGGACAAUGGAUGGUGCUCUGGUCCCCUGCCUUCUAACGUUGGUGGGAGGCUGGACCCACAGAUGAAAACCUUGACCUCAAAUCGGGUGAGACUACCCGCUGAACUUAAGCAUAU